UACAGAGGUCUCAAGCGUUGUUCGGAUUCAUUGGGCGUAAAGGGUGCGUAGGCGGCGCGGUAAGUCGGGUGUGAAAACUCUGGGCUCAACCCAGAGCCGCCACCCGAUACUGCUGUGACUCGAGUGCGGUAGGGGAGCGGGGAAUUCCUGGUGUAGCGGUGAAAUGCGCAGAUAUCAGGAGGAACACCAGUGGCGAAGGCGCCGCUCUGGGCCGUGACUGACGCUGAGGAGCGAAAGCGUGGGGAGCGAACAGG
rnacentral:rRNA from 1 species